rnacentral:rRNA from 1 species
UAAUACAGAGGGGGCAAGCGUUGUUCGGAAUUACUGGGCGUAAAGGGCGCGUAGGCGGCCCUCUAAGUCGAACGUGAAAUCCCUGGGCUCAACCCAGGAACUGCGUCCGAGACUGGGGGGCUAGAAUCCGGGAGAGGGAUGUGGAAUUCCAGGUGUAGCGGUGAAAUGCGUAGAUAUCUGGAGGAACAUCGGUGGCGAAGGCGGCAUCCUGGACCGGUAUUGACGCUGAGGCGCGAAAGCCAGGGGAGCAAACGGGAUUAGAUACCCCGGUAGUCCUGGCCCUAAACGAUGAAUGCUUGGUGUGGCGGGUAUCGAUCCCUGCCGUGCCGAAGCUAACGCAUUAAGCAUUCCGCCUGGGGAGUACGGUCGCAAGGCU